GGCAGAUAGAAAUGGAAGCAAUACACCUUUUCUCCCAGACAGAUGCGGAGAAUUAGCUCCACAUGUCAUUCUGACAUCAGUGCUGCAGCACCACGACAAAGAUGAUUCCCCUGACAAGUGGAGGACAGAAGAAGAAAUGGCAGCUGAAGCAGAAAUUCUGAAGAAGUAUUUCCAGGAAAAUUAAAGGUAAUGAUCUGAACAUUGACUUAGUCCUGCAGCACCCAAGCCUUUGCUGAAGCCUCCAGAGGCUUGUUGAAGACAACAGGGCAAGUAUCUAGAAUGAAACAAAAGAAAACAAAGCUCUUAGUUUUGUGUAGUUUCC
rnacentral:lncRNA from 1 species